GAGUUUGAUCGUGGCUCAGAUUGAACGCUGGCGGCAGGCCUAACACAUGCAAGUCGAGCGGAUGACGGGAGCUUGCUCCUUGAUUCAGCGGCGGACGGGUGAGUAAUGCCUAGGAAUCUGCCUGGUAGUGGGGGACAACGUUUCGAAAGGAACGCUAAUACCGCAUACGUCCUACGGGAGAAAGCAGGGGACCUUCGGGCCUUGCGCUAUCAGAUGAGCCUAGGUCGGAUUAGCUAGUUGGUGGGGUAAUGGCUCACCAAGGCGACGAUCCGUAACUGGUCUGAGAGGAUGAUCAGUCACACUGGAACUGAGACACGGUCCAGACUCCUACGGGAGGCAGCAGUGGGGAAUUUUGGACAAUGGGGGCAACCCUGAUCCAGCCAUGCCGCGUGAGUGAAGAAGGCCUCGGUUGUAA
rnacentral:rRNA from 1 species